CCCUUGGUAGUCUAGUUGGUUAUGGCGUUCGACUGUAAUUGUAAUCCGAUCUCAUGGUCCACGAUUGUUUAUCGAAAAGUCACCGGUUCGAUUCCGGUCCGAGGGA